rnacentral:snRNA from 1 species
GAUCCCACGGCUCUGGGAGCCCGG